rnacentral:rRNA from 1 species
CAGCCGCCGCGGUAAUACCGGCGGCCCGAGUGGCGGCCACUAUUAUUGGGCUUAAAGCGUCCGUAGCCGGGUUGGUUAGUCUCCCGGGAAAUCUGGCCGCUUAACGGUCAGAAUUCCGGGGGAUACUGCCAGCCUAGGGACCGGGAGAGGCCGAGGGUAUUCCCGGAGUAGGGGGGAAAUCCUAUAAUCCCGGGAGGACCACCUGUGGCGAAGGCGCUCGGCUGGAACGGGUCCGACGGUGAGGGACGAAGGCCAGGGGAGCAAACCGGAUUAGAUACCCGGGUAGUCCUGGCUGUAAACGAUGCGGACUUUGUGUCGGACAAGCUAUGAGCUUGUCCGGUGCCGGAGGGAAACCGUUAAGUCCGCCGCCUGGGGAGUACGGCCGCAAGGCUGAAACUUAAAGGAAUUGGCGGG